UACAGAGGGUGCGAGCGUUGUUCGGAAUUAUUGGGCGUAAAGGGCGCGUAGGCGGUGCGGUAAGUCACCUGUGAAAUCUCCUGGCUCAACUGGGAGCUUGCAGGCGAAACUGCCGUGCUGGAGUGUGGGAGAGGUGAGUGGAAUUCCAGGUGGAGUAGUGAAAUGCGUAGAUAUCUGGAGGAACACCAAAGGCGAAGGCAAUGUUCUGGCUCGUUUCUGACGCUCAGGUGCGAAAGCCAGGGGAGCGAACGGG
rnacentral:rRNA from 1 species